UGGGGAAUUUUGGACAAUGGGCGCAAGCCUGAUCCAGCCAUGCCGCGUAAGUGAAGAAGGCCCUCGGGUUGUAAAGCUCUUUUGUCCGGAAAGAAAAGCUUCGGGUUAAUACCCCGGGGUUCUGACGGUACCGGAAGAAUAAGCACCGGCUAACUUCGUGCCAGCAGCCGCGGUAAUACGAAGGGUGCAAGCGUUACUCGGAAUUACUGGGCGUAAAGCGUGCGUAGGUGGUUGUUUAAGUCUGAUGUGAAAGCCCUGGGCUCAACCUGUGAAUGGCAUUGGAAACUGGGCAGCUAGAGUGCGGUAGAGGGUAGUGGAAUUCCCGGGGUAGCAGUGAAAUGCGUAGAGAUCGGGAGGAACAUCUGUGGCGAAGGCGACUGCCUGGACCAGCACUGAGACUGAGGCACGAAAGCGUGGGGAGCAAACA
rnacentral:rRNA from 1 species